UCUUCCAUGGCGUCGUCGGGGCCUUCCCCUGCCAAGCGUAGCGGCUCCUUGGCUGGAUCACCGUCGCACACCUCACCGGCGUGGUCGGCAAGAUCUGCAUCUCGAUCCUCGCCACUCUCCAUCCUCUUGCAGGUUUAUAAAUUUCGAAAUAUAGUUGCAGCUUCACGGAAUGGACGGCCCAAGUUAUGUUAGUGUCUAUAUGUUUACUUGGUGGUGGUCUAGCGUGAGUGACACCUGCAUCUGUAACUUACCCAUUGGAUGUUCUUCGAAAUCACCUGACAACACAGAAAACCACUAGGUAUUACAAGGGCAUCUUUCACACGUUGUCUACAAUUUGUAGAGAAGAGAAUAGUAGAGGAUUGUAUAAAGGCCUUUGGUCCACCUUAUUG